AUAAAAAUAAUGAUGAUGAUAAAAACUUGAAUCAUGAGUUUGAAGGAGUGUAUUGAAGUUCCCACAAAUUUUGAAGAAACUCUUACUCCCAUGUCCCAUCAAACAGCUAGUUUGAUAAUGUGUUAAAAAUGAAACACAAAUGGAGGUAAGGAAUGAAUAAAAGCACAAAAUCAAGAAGAGCAAAUUGUGGCAUCCACACUUGUAAAGAGACAAGAUAAUGUACAAUUACUAUGGAAGGCAACCAUCCCAAAUCUAAGCAAAAAACUCUGGCCAAAGAAACCAAUUCCUAAGUUCCUAUAUAACCUGAACAAGUACAUUAACCUAAAACCAUAGCCCCAGCUAUCAAUAACCCAAAUAUAAUGUCAAGAAACUAACUCUAGAACACAGGUUAAACCACACCAACUAAAAAUUUGUGUACAAUAAAAUCAUGCGCAGAAUUUGAAGCACCUUCCUUAGUUUUUCUCCUCUAGGAUUGGAAAGGUUAGAACAUAGAACCCGUGUUCUACACAUCAACAACGUAUUCAUUACCACUGGAGUGAAGCCCCAUAUGCAACACAAUUAUAAGAGACCAACCAGAAAUCAUCUUUAAGGUACAUUAUGGGAACCCGUGUUUCUCAUGUUUGAAUCAUUAAAUGCAAUACAAGAAUAUACAACAAAAUUCUUAGAGAAACACACCCCAAUAG
rnacentral:misc_RNA from 1 species